CCUCAUUUGGCUGUCACUCAGGGUGAUCUGACGUUAUUUUAAUAAUCUGCCAUUCCUGCUAAUGCAAAUCACUGCUGGUGCUGUGAAGGAAAUCAUCCACAUCUUUACUGUCACUUCUCAUUAGCAGAGUAGUCAGGUAAAUGAGUCCAUCCACAUCUUUACUGUCACUUCUCAUUAGCAGAGUAGUCAGAUAAAUGAGUCCAUCCACAUCUUUACUGUCACUUCUCAUUAGCAGAGUAGUCAGAUAAAUGAGUCCAUCCACAUCUUUACUGUCACUUCUCAUUAGCAGAGUAGUCAGAUAAAUGAGUCCAUCCACAUCUUUACUGUCACUUCUCAUUAGCAGAGUAGUCAGGUAAAUGAGUCCAUCCACAUCUUUACUGUCACUUCUCAUUAGCAGAGUAGUCAGAUAAAUGAGUCCAUCCACAUCUUUACUGUCACUUCUCAUUAGCAGAGUAGUCAGGUAAAUGAGUCCAUCCACAUCUUUACUGUCACUUCUCAUUAGCAGAGUAGUCAGUAAAAGAGUCCAUCCACCAUAGCAGUGGUGCAUCUUACUACACAAGUAGCCUGGAACUGCUAAUCCUGAGAUGGUUUCUGAUGUCCAUGCUUUCCGCCCCU
rnacentral:lncRNA from 1 species